UCAACUCCCAUUAAGCCAAGUUCCUGGAGGAGAUCACUAAGCUCGUCAUGCUAGAGCACUUUUUCAAUGGGCUACCCAAUGAUAAGGCGCAUUUGUAUGUCAUCCAUAUAAACUUUCGAUGCCAUUUACUGCGCCUACCAUGAUGACCAUGGGUAACGGGGAAUCAGGGUUCGAUUCCGGAGAGGGAGCCUGAGAAACGGCUACCACAUGUAAGGAAGGCAACGGGCGCACAAAUGACCCACUCCCGACGUGGGAAGGUAGUGACGACAAAUAACAAUACAGGACUCUUUAGAGGGCCUGUAAUUGUAAUGAGUCCACUUGAAAUUCUUUAACUAUGAUCAAUUGGAGGGCAAGUCUGGUGUAGAGCGACUGACCUGUGCGUGCUGCAGCUGAAACUCCACUA